rnacentral:rRNA from 1 species
UGAGGAAUAUUGGUCAAUGGGCGAGAGCCUGAACCAGCCAAGUCGCGUGAGGGAUGAAGGCCCUACGGGUUGUAAACCUCUUUUAUAAGGGAAUAAAGGGCGUCACGUGUGGCGCAUUGCAUGUACCUUAUGAAUAAGCAUCGGCUAACUCCGUGCCAGCAGCCGCGGUAAUACGGAGGAUGCGAGCGUUAUCCGGAUUCAUUGGGUUUAAAGGGUGCGUAGGUGGCUUGUUAAGUCAGCGGUGAAAGUCAGUGGCUCAACCAUUGAAUUGCCGUUGAAACUGGCGAGCUUGAGUACGUACGGGGCAGGCGGAAUGCGUGGUGUAGCGGUGAAAUGCAUAGAUAUCACGCAGAACCCCGAUCGCGAAGGCAGCCUGCCAGGCCGUGACUGACACUGAUGCACGAAAGCGUGGGUAUCGAACAGG